UACGUAGGGCGCAAGCGUUGUCCGGAAUUAUUGGGCGUAAAGAGCUCGUAGGCGGCUUGUCGCGUCUGUUGUGAAAGCCCGGGGCUUAACCCCGGGUCUGCAGUGGAUACGGGCAGGCGUAGAGGCAGGUAGGGGAGAACGGAAUUCCCGGUGUAGCGGUGAAAUGCGCAGAUAUCGGGAGGAACACCGGUGGCGAAGGCGGUUCUCUGGGCCUGUACUGACGCUGAGGAGCGAAAGCGUGGGGAGCGAACAGG
rnacentral:rRNA from 1 species